GGAACAGAAAACAAGGAUAGCAAGUGUUUGGAUCAAGAAUCAAGAAUGAGCAGUAAAAAUCUAAAUCCGGAAGUGGGAGUUCAUUACAGAGAACAGUGCAAGAGCAGCCCAGAUGUACACCAGCAACUCCAGGAGAGCAGAUGAGUAAUGGAUACUUCAAGUCAUGUCAGCAACAGAAUCUGUGGAAGAACUCUGGAGAAGCGAAGAUACCGGAUAUUGGUGACCUGGGAGGAUUUAGGAAGCAGCAAAUGGAUGGACGCAGUAAGACUAAAGUUCAAAGAUAAAAGAGAAGCAUCUGUCAACUGAUGAAGGAACUGUCUUUACAGAAAAUAAGAAGACACACAGAGACAACUGGGAGAAAGCCAUGUGACGAUGGAGACAGAGAACAAAGGUCUAUUGCCACAAGCCAGGGAAGACCAAGAGCCACCAGAAUAUGGAAGAGACAAGGAAGGAUCCUCCCCUAGAGACUUCGAAGGGAUUGUGGCCCUGCUGACACCUUGGCUUCAAACUUCUAGCCUCAAAAAUGUUAGAAAACAAACUACUGUCAUUUUAAACCACCCAAUUUGUAGUAGUUUCUUAUGGCAGUCAUUGUAAACUAAUACACUCAUUAAGUUGGUUCCUUUUGAAAACUGAGGGGAAAAAUGUUUUUCUUCUUGCUUUUGCUUUCCUGUGCGUAAAUAUCAAAAACUAAUUCAUAUAACACUAUAAAAC
rnacentral:lncRNA from 1 species